rnacentral:rRNA from 2 species
GGACUACCGGGGUUUCUAAUCCCGUUUGCUCCCCUGGCCUUCGUGCCUCAGUGUCAGUAACUGUCCAGAGAUCCGCCUUCGCCACUGGUCUUCCUUACGAUAUCUACGCAUUUCACUGCUACACCGUAAAUUCCAAUCUCCUCUCCAGUACUCGAGCAAGGCAGUAUUGAAUGCAGUUCCGGGGUUGAGCCCCGGGAUUUCACAUCCAACUUACCUCGCCACCUACGCACCCUUUACGCCCAAUGAAUCCGAACAACGCUUGAGACCUCUGUAUUACCGCGGCUGCUGGCAC